rnacentral:rRNA from 1 species
UACGAAGGGGGCUAGCGUUGUUCGGAAUUACUGGGCGUAAAGCGCACGUAGGCGGGUCGUUAUGUCAGGGGUGAAAUCCCAGAGCUCAACUCUGGAACUGCCUUUGAUACUGGCGACCUAGAGUUCGGAAGAGGUUAGUGGAAUUCCCAGUGUAGGGGUGAAAUUCGUAGAUAUUGGGAAGAACACCAGUGGCGAAGGCGGCUAACUGGUCCGAUACUGACGCUGAGGUGCGAAAGCGUGGGGAGCAAACAGG